GAUGAACGCUAGCGGCAGGCUUAACACAUGCAAGUCGAGGGGUAGAGGCUUUCGGGCCUUGAGACCGGCGCGCGGGUGCGUAACGCGUAUGCAAUCUGCCUUGUACUGGGGGAUAGCCCAGAGAAAUUUGGAUUAAUACCCCAUAGUAUUUUCGGUUGGCAUCAACUGAUUAUUAAAGUUUUUCGGUACAAGAUGAGCAUGCGUCCCAUUAGCUAGUUGGUAUGGUAACGGCAUACCAAGGCUACGAUGGGUAGGGGUCCUGAGAGGGAGAUCCGCCCCGCUGGUAGUGGGACACGGAACAGACUCCUACGGGAGGCGGCAGUGAGGAAUAUUGGGCAAUGGGCGCAAGCCUGACCCAGCCAUGCCGCGUGAAGGAUGAAUGCCCUAUGGGUUGUAAACUUCUUUUGUACGGGACGAAACUCCUGGUCGUGACCGGGAUUGACUGUACCGUGCGAAUAAGCAUCGGCUAACUCCGUGCCAGCCGCCGCAGUAAGAC
rnacentral:rRNA from 1 species